AGUGCUUAGCAAGCCCUGAUCCUUAGGAUGAGUAAGCAAAUUUUUCUUUAACUAGAUUGUGAUCAUCACCCUCUUUUAAGUAUUUUAGAACUGCUUAUAUGCCAUUGUCUUUCCCUAUGCAUGGGAUGGGUGGCCCCACUGUGUACCAUGGCCCCAUGAGAGGACCGCAUUGUGAUAUUUGCUUGUGGAAAACCAGCUCUGUUCUUCUUGAUACCGGGGAAGCUUGGCAAGCGAGUCACGUCUGGAAAUGACAGCACUGGUCCCUUUGGCUUUGCAUGGUGCCUUCUGCCUCCUCCCCAAUCUCCUGUGUCAACCUGUGCUCUCGAAGAAGGCUCUGGAGCUCAUCUGCGCUAUUGUGCAAAGGAAACGUAAGAAAGGGACAAGUCCCACAUCACUCCCACCAACCUGUUCCACGCAGAUUUUCCUUCUGUCUUCCAGGGAUUUCAGUCCACGAAAGGUUUAUUCCAAGCUUGGAUGCCAGCACUGCCGUGGAGCUCCUGCAAUGUGUAAUCACUGCUCUCAUGCCUCUGGUGCCCAGGGAGCCUUGCACUUACAUGGGCAGGUGGAAACCCUCCCUCAGCAAACACGCCACCAGCUGCAGCAUGUCCCACUGGAGGAGCUGGGCUGACAGACGGAGCAAGGACGACGUCCUGAGCUUUGGCUUGGCUGCUGUAUGGGGAAUAAUUCUUGUGGGCCCCUUUCUGCUUGUGUGAGCGUUUUCGGAGCAUCUUCAGAAGCACCAGCCCUCUCCUCUGUCGUAUUAUUUUUGUUUGUAAAUCCUGGCUGAAGAAGGAUCUCGGCUCAAACAUAAAGCUCCAUCUGACCUGAGCAGCACGGGGCAAAUCUGGGAUCAAGCCUGUGAAGAAAACGGGUUUAUUAGCCUUAUAAAUUGAAUCUGGAGUUCUUGGUGCAAAUAACCUAGUACCCUCCCAAGUGAUUCUGCUUUAAUGAGAAUUGUCAAAGCUGCAGGUCUGACAGAUGUGAUAAAGAUUGGACAACACUAGGGGUGGACAGCCAGGUUCCAGUGUGCUUCUGCCCAGCCUAGAAGAGCUCCCUCAGCAACACCACGGCUUCUCUCCCUACGGAUGGAGGGAAGUUCCCAACAUAUUCUCACAUUCCUCCAGUUAAAAACUUCCCACCCACAGACAUCCCAGAGCAUCCCUUUGGAGAACGAAACACAAAGGGAAUCCAAGAUGAUGCUUGGCUUCCUGCUGCUGAGACAAAUAGUGAGGCUGUUAAACUCUACCAUUGUCCCACGUCCUUUAGAGUGGAAAGAGUUUGUACUCCUUGCUCUAAGAUUUACGCAGCAGUGCUCUCCAACGCCAGGCAGCUGGGAAGUCCCCAUGUGAAACCUCUCCACAAGCUGAUGGGAAGCAGCAAGACCCACACUGCCUUCAUCAUUGUCAUCCCCAUCAAUGGAGCCAACGGGUCAGAAAACUCCCAUCCGUUACACCUAUGGCAUGCCAUCAGCUCGCAGGUGAUGAGGAAAAGCAGAUGCAGUUUUUGGUGAGCCAGUUGUUCUCCCGUUUUGCACAUCCCAAAAUGAGCUUCAAGAUUCCAAGCAUGCUUCACGCUGUAGGGUUCUGUCCACAGGGUCUGGGCUGGAUGUGACCUUAGGAGUGAAUGCAGUGUGGGGAACAGAAAAAUUCAGCAAAAAAAGAGCAAAUGUGUUAACGGAGGGCAAAAAAAAAACACACAUCAUGUAGUUCCCUCUAUUCUUAGUUUUAUGCAUUCGGCCAGUUCUGGAGUGACUGAAAACCUGAGAAUUUGAAAGGAAUGUUGUGAUUUCAGCCGAGUUCAAUAUUCUCUUCAAUAUUUUGAAAAGUGGAAGUCUUAGGCAGCUGAACAGAACUUUGCCCAUUGACAAUUCCUGCUUAGAGAAUAAACUUAGAAUAAAUAAAGGCAUCAUAGUGGGAAUUGGCUGGAGUAAACCAUUCUGUGCUGCAGUAAAAUUCAAUUCUAGGUGGUUUCAGUUGCGAUCUCCAAUACAAACCCUGAAUGUUGCUGUCCUGCAAACGCUUCUUUAUUGGAAAGCAGUCCCAGUGUCCCAGAAAACCCCCAAAGGCCUUCCUUUGCCAUAUGCCUGCACUCAGCUGCAAGUUGUUCAUGCUGCGCUCAUGACGGUGGGCAUCCACCUCACUUCAGCCUUUCAGACCCGAAGUAUCAAGCCUAAACCUACUGCCACGGUUCCCUUGUUUUUCAGAGGGAGGUUGGUACUGCAGCCUCCUACAGCUCUGCAGGCAGGGUGCUUGCUUCCAGCUGACCACGCUCAGGGAGAUGUACUAGGCUACUCGGUGAUUCCUAUUCCUCCUCCUGUUACGUUUUUCUUCCCUACCUGCCUUAACAACACUCUGUUUACGCUAUCUCAGGCCAAGGAUCAAAGUGCUAUUCCCCUCUGCCAAGAGCGAUUUAGCAGUGCCUUCCUUGGACUUGCUUUGUUAUAACUUUUGCAUUGCCCGGGUGCUGAGUUAUUCAUUAUGCGCAGGCUGCAGAGACAAUUGUAUGCGUUCCUCUUCCUGUCUGUGCAAUAUUUUGACAUUUCCCUGUGUCUAUUGGAAUUCAGUCCUGUCUUUAAAUAAAUAUCUUGCUUUCCCAUGGGAAGAGCUCCAGGAGCUCCUACCUCAGUGCUGCUUCCCAGCUGUCUGAGUUUUCCUCGUCUGCAUCUCGGGUGAUGGAAAUGUGGAGGAGUUGGGGUAUUUUGUUUGGGGUUGGGGACUUUUUUGAGGUUAAAAAGAGCAACACCAGAUCAGGGUUCCAGCAGCCUGCAUCCACCAUUUUCUACGGUAUGUUGUCUUCUAGCCAAAGAUAUUCAGUUUUCAGGUCAGAUAGGAAAUCAGUUUUCUAAAUGAGAGAGGGAUUGUAUAGGUCCUAUUUCCCAUACUUCCAGGACUGCGGAGAAGCAGAGCAUCAACAGCAAAAAUCAAUUAGUGUCGAACCAAUUUCUAAACAAUGAUAUGGUUUUGACAUUAAAAACCAAAUCACCAUAACAUGUCUCAGAAGAUGGAAUAAACCAAUCAACCUGUAGAAGUAAGACAUGGUAGCAGGUGGGGCUGUCCACUAUGGGUGAUGGGCGAAAGUCCGUGGACAGGGUUAAAGUAUACUGUUUAAUUUUACUGUUAAGCAAUGCCCCAAAAGGACAGAUAUCAAGGUUUAAGCAACUGAGGUGUGUUUGGCAUCAGCUGUUGCCUGCUCAGCACACUGGGAUGUUUCCUGUCUCUCAUUUUAAGUUUGCUUUCUUCUGUCUGCAUCCUCAGUGCUUAUCCUGCCCUAAGAUAUGGCCAUUCCCACCCCCUGGUGGCACCUCACACCUCAUCAGCCAGGCAUGGAUCCCCAGCAAUGCCUGUGGGAUGUUCAUCAGUGAGAUAUUUUGCACAGGGGCUUUCACUCUGCUUUAACCAUGCACGCACCCCACUGAGGAGCUGCCAAUCCUACCCAAUCCAUAAGAGAAAUGAGGAUGUAAGUGGCUUUUCAGCAGCCAAGAAGACUGAUCGUGGUGAGGAGCCCUGAUGGUGCCAUGUGUCAUAGAAUCCUGGAGUUGUUUAAAUUGGAAGGGGCCCUUAAAGGUCAUCUAGUCCAACUGCCUUGCAGUGAACAGGGACACCUACAGCUCUAUCAGGUGCUCAG